UAAACUCAAGUUUAGUUUCAAAUUCGUUUCUUUUAUUUAUCUAUUUCGAUUUUGGGUAUGUUGUUAAAUUGGGGUUCUUGAACAAUUGAAUUGAAGAAAUUAAAUGUGAAUUAUCGGAAAAUUCAGGGAUGUUACACACACUCUCUUUCUCUCCUCUCUCCUUUCUCCUAGCCUCCCAUAUUUUCAGAUCUAUAUGCACAGUCUCUCUCCUACAUUUCUAUCUAUUUCGUUAUGUAAAUCGUAUUUAUAUGUGGUUAUGACCUGCAUAAGGUAUGAUUUAAUUGUUUGUUGCAUUUCUAGUAAUGACGUUUAAUUCUUUGAUUGGGAAUUGUAUUAUAAUCUUUAUUUAAGUGGCCUGGUUCUGUUACAAAUGCAUUUGAUUGCAGACUAGAGUUUAUAUGUGGUUUUACGAAUGCAUUCCAUUGCAGCAUUCUGGUCUUCUCAUUGACCCGAAACCUGUAAUCUCUAUUUCCUUCUUUUAGAUCGUUUAUUCAGUUAUUUUUACUAAAUUUUUAUGAUAAUUUUACUAAUUUUUUUUAAUGACAAUUUUAUAGUUAUUAUAUGCGUGUGCAAUUAAAUUGUUUAGCCAUUUUUUUUAUUAGCUUGGAAUAUUUUGUGUUCUUGUGAUGGAACUGCUAUAUUUGAAUUAUCUUUUUGCAGUUAAUUGGUGUUUUAUGUAUUUGAAUUUUAUGAUAUUUGACUUAUAUCUAUUAAAGGGAGACAGAUUUCAUUUUUUUUUUUCUUCGCUGGUAUAAUUAUAGCAAUUUAAUCAAGGCUACAAAUGAAAAUGGAGGUACAGAAUAGUCUUGAGAUAGCACACAUUGCCAAAUACUUGAAUUCUUUAAUUAUUACUUUCGGUCGUUCUCAGUAAUUCUUCUUCAGAUAGCUAUGCCAAAGUUCACUAAUAAUUCUGGACAUAAGCUUUAAAACGUUGUGGUUGAGAUAUUAAAUAUUCUUUCGCAAAGUGAUGUGCUUCAAACCUUUGUUCAUGAGUUUGUUUAACUAAAAUACUUGAUUUGUUUUUUGUGAUAUUAUAUCACCUACUUUAUUCUUUUAUUUGUUAUCAUUUAAGCAUUGUGGCUGAAGUUGACUGAAUGAUGCCUAACCAUCCAUUUUUUUUUCUGAAGGCAGUAAUAGAUGAAAGAGGUGACCAUAUUUAUAUAGGUCUGAAAUAUUUAGGUGUGGUUGUAUAUUAUUUUACAGGUACGACAGGUGGAGGCUGGCAUUUCUUUUAAUCUUUGAAGUGGUAUACUGGCUAUUGCUUGCUUCCUACAUCUAAAAUAUGUCACAGUGGUCUUCAAAUGCAAGGUUUCAUUGCCCUUGAUCACUUGGAAUUAUAUUGAGAAAGCAUACUUAAUCAUUUUUUUAUUGUUUUUUUUUAUCUUGAACGAUUCCUGUAUUAUCACUUAGUCUUGAUUAGUAUUUUAUUUUUGUUUUUUGAUAGGGAGAUGUAUCAUAUUUUGAUGUAAAUGUAUAAUGUACUAGAGAAAAUGAAAUACAACUUGUAGUAUUGUGUUUGCAAUACAAGUAAUUCGUAUGCUAAAAUAUUUUUUUAGCUUUAUUGAUUUAAAUUUUUUUUUUGUAAAGGAGGGAAGAUUAUAAUUAUAUUUUGAAUUAAAUUUAUGUGGUUGUCCUUGAGCAUAUUAAUUUUCAGAAACAAUUUUAUAUUACCUCUAAUUAUAUCUCGAGGCAAAAUCAUAUGAUUACCCUAAAUAUAUGUGGUUUUUAGAAGCAAUGCGUUAUAUUGCCUCUAAUUAUAUUGCGAGAUAGAAUUAUAUGGUUGCCCCUAAAUAUAUGUAGUUUUAGAAGCAAUGUUUUAUAUCGUCUCUAAUUAUUUUUGAUGUAAGAAUAUAUAUUGUUGCCUCUAAUUAUAUUUUGAGGCAAGAAUAUAUAUGGUUGCCUCUAAUUAUAUUUUGAGGCAAGAAUAUAUAUGGUUGCCUCUAAUUAUAUUUUGAGGCAAGAAUUUAUAUGGUGGCCUCUAAUUUUAAUUUUGAUGCAAGAAUAUAUGGUUGCCUCUAAAUGUCGAGUCUUUUAGAGGCAACUAGUUAUAUUGCCUCAAAAAGGGACUUUUAGAGGCAACCAUUAAUUAGCGACGGAACUAUUAGAGGCAACCACUAAUUUGCUUCAAAAGGCAAUUAGAGGCUACAUCUUUGGUUUCAGAGGCAAAUCUCCCUUGCCUCUAUAUGUGAUUUUUCUUGUAGUGUGUGGAGGCUAUGAAAGCCCAAAUUCGGGAAGAUCUCAGAGCGGAGAUGACUCAAAAUUUCAACGCCAUUUUGGCGCAGAUGGGCUUACCGACUUUUGGUGCUUUCCAGCAGGGUAGUGUUCCUACGCAGCCUGAUCCAGUUCCGGAGUUCACGGGUACGGGGAAAGCCGACAGGAAGGGAAAGAAGGCAUGUUCACCUUAGGAAGGCCGACGUGAUGAAGUGGAGAAAGUAAAUGUUUCUAUGGCAAAGUGUCCACUCAUUACGGAGAUCGAGGUGGUGCAAGGCCUUACUUCUUCGUGCUUUUAGCUACAGGAGUGCGGUAGCGAUGUAGACGAUGAAGCAAUGAUUGAGAUUCAGUUGUCGCACCACCAAUUCCACUACUUUGAGGAUACAUCGACCUUCAUUUCUAAGGUUGAUAUUAAAGAAUUCUUACUUGGGGAAGAGAUGAAUGUUUCCAUGAUACAAACAUUCAUGAGGCUAUCAUACAAUGAAUUGAUUGCAUCUAGUGAGCCAAUGUUUGGUUGGUUAUGUCCAAGCUUAGUACGAGAUGACAAUUGCUUAAGAAAAAAAAAGGAGGUGAAAGACUAUCUCAAGUCUUCUUUGAAAGCAUGUUCUCGUCAACAAUAUAAGAUCAUUCUUCUUCCUUACAUUGAAUCGAAUCAUUGGACACUGAUUACAAUAUGUUUGUCACGUAACGAAGCCUACCACUUUGAUUCUUUGCGUAAACAAACACCACGGCCCUUACUAGUCAAAUCAUUGUUAAAUAGUAUGAUGCAGGAGGUUAAUGCAAUAUGACUUGGAGCACCAAAAUCUCCUGUUUGGCAUUCAGUCGAGUGUCCGCUACAAGAAGGUGGACUUGCGUGUGGGUAUUACGUCAUGAGAUUCAUGCUUGAUAUCGUCAACCGUUGCACACAUGUUGAUGAUCUUCAAAAUGU